rnacentral:rRNA from 1 species
UAUNAGGGUCAGCCUGCCCGUGACAAAUUUAACGGCCGCGGUACCCUAACCGUGCGAAGGUNGCAUAAUCACUUGCGAGGGUUAAACUGUCUCCUUUUUCAUAUCAGUGAAACUAAUCUCCCCGUGAAGAAGCGGGGAUAAUCCUAUAAGACGAGAAGACCCCAUGGAGCUUUAAACCCAACUACACUCCUUUUUGACUUUACUUUUUAACUCCUAGGAUUUUGUAUGUUCUGGUUUUAGGUUGGGGUGACCGCGGAGCAUAAAUUAGCCUCCACAAUGAAUAGACCUUCUCUUUAUCCAAGACUUACACCUCUAAGAAUUAGUAUUCUAACAUAAAAUGAUCCGAUAUUCGAUCAACGAACCAAGUUACCCUGGGGAUAACAGCGCAAUCUACUUCAAGAGCCCCUAUCGACAAGUGGGUUUACGACCUCGAUGUUGGAUCAGGGUAUCCUAGUGGUGCAGCAGCUACUAAAGGUUCGUUUGUUCAACGAUUAAAACCCU